rnacentral:misc_RNA from 1 species
UCAAACUUGGUCAUUUAGAGGAAGUAAAAGUCGUAACAAGGUUUCCGUAGGUGAACCUGCGGAAGGAUCAUUACAAAUCAAAAAGAUUCUCCAUGAAGUCCAUGCGGCGAGGCAGGAGGAUGCCAGUGCGCCAUCGCCAAAUUGUUGGUGGUGGUGAUAGGGAGAGGCACUGGUGGCUCGCUUCAUGAAAGCAUGUGUCAUCGCUGCUGCUACUGCCCUGUGCGGUAGCGUAGUGGUGUCACAUCUCAUUGUUAAAUCCCUUCAUGCUGACUGACUGACUGACUGACGCAUGAAUGGCCACUGUGAUCGUGCAUGCAGGGAGGAGAUGAUGGGACUCGAACCAUCAUUACUGCGCCGAUUUAGUGUCAUUGUGCGUCGUCGUUGUCGUCGUCGUAGCAAUAUCUCAAUGAUAACGAGAUGACAGCCUUUUAACAACGGAUCUCUCGGCUCUUACAUCGAUGAAGAACGCAGC